GGGCUAAGCUGGUUACUGCCACUCUCCUUCUUUUCAAGCGGGCUGCUGGGUGAAAGUGAAAGUGAAGUCGCUCAGUUGUGUCCGACUCUUUGCGACCCGUGGACUGUAGCCCACCAAGCUCCUCCGUCCAUGGGAUUCUCCAGGCAAGAACAAUGGAAGGCAUCAUUUGACAUCUUAAAAAUGUGUCAGAGUUUGUGGAUUUGUGUCAAAGCUGGAACACCUGUCCUAUCAGUAGAAGCAUGAUGUGCUGUUGAUCAGAGCAAAAGGCUUCAGAAGUUGGAGGUUAUGGAUAUGCAGUAUGAUUUAAAUGAUGGUCAUGUAUGGAUGUGAGAGUUGGAUUGUGAAGAAGGCUGAGCACCGAAGAAUUGAUGCUUUUGAACUGUGGUGUUGGAGAAGACUCUUGAGGGUCCCUUGGACAAUCCAUUCUGAUGGAGAUCAGCCCUGGGAUUUCUUUGGAAGGACUGAUGCUAAAGCUGAAACUGCAGUACUUUGGCCACCUCAUGCGAAGAGUUGACUCAUUGGAAAAGACUCUGAUGCUGGGAGGGAUUGGGGGCAGGAGGAGAAGGGGACGACCGAGGAUGAGAUGGCUGGAUGGCAUCACUGACUCAAUGGACGUGAAUCUGAGUGAACUCUGGGAGUUGGUGAUGGACCGGGAGGCCUGGCGUGCUUCGAUUCCUGGGGCCACAGAGUCAGACACGACUGAGCAACUCAACUGAACUGAACUGAAUCCCUCAUUAAUAAUGAGUUAGCAAAGUCUUUAAUAAAUGCUUUAUAUUUGUGUGAAAGUCAUGAUUUUGCCUUCAUCUGAAAAAUUUCCAUUGAUGCCGAGUACAAAAGUAAUCAGUGCAAUUCGUAUUAUUUAACAAAUGCAUAGUAUCAUCACCUCCCGCUCCUCUUGGGAACGUUUUGUAGCGGAUUUAAAGGAAGCUUGGACUAAACUCCUAUUCAGUGUCCUUGGUGAUUUUAUGUUCUCUCGUGGUCACUUUGGUGGCUAAUGGACACUGAGCUCCCAGUUACAAAGUAUUUUUUAAUGACAGCUUUGGCUAUUGGAAAGUACCUUCUUAUAUCAAGUCAAAAUCUUCAUACAACUUCUAACUGUUGGGUCAAGUUAUAUUUCUUUAUCAUACAGAAUGAAUAUAAUCCCACUGUCCUAAAAUUGUCCUUCAAAUAUAGAAAAUAGUUAUAUUCACUGUUACCGUUUUUUUCCCUUCGCAGGAAGAAUUUCCUGAGGUCUUUAGCCUUCCUGAGAUGUAUUCUGAGAUGGAUUAAAAAUCCCUAAUUAUCUUAGACACUCUUAUGAUACUGCUUCCCAAUAGGCCCUAUCAUUCUAUGAAUACACAUUAAAGUUUCAUUAGCAAUUUUGGCAAUAACAUUGCUCUGUUUUUUCAUAUAGAGAUAAAAUCAUAAUAUAUGCUUCUUCCCAUCUGUA
ensembl:lncRNA